UCCAGACUCCUACGGGAGGCAGCAGUGAGGAAUAUUGGUCAAUGGGCGGAAGCCUGAACCAGCCAAGUCGCGUGAGGGAAUAAGGCCCUACGGGUCGUAAACCUCUUUUGCCGGGGAGCAGUGGUCCGGACGCGUCCGGACCGGGAGAGUACCCGGAGAAAAAGCAUCGGCUAACUCCGUGCCAGCAGCCGCGGUAAUACGGAGGAUGCGAGCGUUAUCCGGAUUUAUUGGGUUUAAAGGGUGCGUAGGCGGGCAUUUAAGCCGGCGGUCAAAUGUCGGGGCUCAACCCCGCCCAGCCGUCGGAACUGCCGGGCUAGAGUGGGCGAGAAGUGCGCGGAAUGCGUGGUGUAGCGGUGAAAUGCAUAGAUAUCACGCAGAACUCCGAUUGCGAAGGCAGCGCACCGGCGCCCUACUGACGCUCAGGCACGAAAGCGUGGGUAUCGAACAGGAUUAGAUACCCGGGUAGA
rnacentral:rRNA from 1 species